GGUGUAGGCGGUAACGCAAGUCGGAUGUGAAAUCCCGAGGCUCAACCUCGGAACUGCAUUCGAAACUGCGUAACUAGAGUCUCGGAGAGGGUGGCAGAAUUCCCGGUGUAGGGGUGAAAUCCGUAGAUAUCGGGAGGAAUACCAGUGGCGAAGGCGGCCACCUGGACGAUGACUGACGCUCAGACCCGAAAGCGUGGGGAGCAAACAGGAUUAGAUACCCUGGUAGUCC
rnacentral:rRNA from 1 species